CAGUCGCCGCGGUAAUACGAAGGGUGCAAGCGUUAAUCGGAUUUACUGGGCGUAAAGCGUGCGUAGGCGGCUUUUUAAGUCGGAUGUGAAAUCCCUGAGCUUAACUUAGGAAUUGCAUUCGAUACUGGGAAGCUAGAGUAUGGGAGAGGAUGGUAGAAUUCCAGGUGUAGCGGUGAAAUGCGUAGAGAUCUGGAGGAAUACCGAUGGCGAAGGCAGCCAUCUGGCCUAAUACUGACGCUGAGGUACGAAAGCAUGGGGAGCAAACAGGAUUAGAUACCCCCGUAGUCCCUGUCUCUUAUAC
rnacentral:rRNA from 1 species